CUCUACUGUAAACAGAGGAGCAAAUAAAGUUUAAGACAAGACCACAAUCAAGGAUAUUGGCGUCAGAAGGUUCUGGUGAGAACUCCUUCGAUUGUUUGAGUGUCUGAUGAUCUUCUAAAAGCAUCCACAGAAAGGGUCUUUCUUUGUCUGUUCCUUCCUUUCUUCCACUUCCCACUCCUUCAGCAAAGACAAUGUGGUGCAAGAGAAAGGAAGAGUUUGUGGAUGAAUCGGGCAGGAAAUCAGUAGGCCCUAGCCUUCCUCAGUCACCUGAUGCAGCAUUUGGACUCUGCGGCCCUGAUGGACUUUGUGAGACACAACAGAGUAGAGCUACACCAUCUUUAAGCCUCUCCAGUUCUACAAUCCCAUGAACCCCAUGAGGUCUAUAAACAAGGGUGCUCCUCCUCAAAUGAGGAAAUACCAGGUUUACAGAAGACGGUGCUUCAUCCAAGGUUGAGGGCUAUCCCUUAGCGGGACAUAAUUUUAUCCCUGCUUUUGAAGAAUCAGGUAUUUAUUGACAUUUCAAAAAUAAAGACUCAAAAAGUAUUGAUACACAACCGGUUACUAUUGUACAGGGUUCUCUUUUUUUCUUUUCUUUUUUUUUUUUUUUU
rnacentral:lncRNA from 1 species